UACGUAGGUGGCAAGCGUUGUCCGGAUUUAUUGGGUUUAAAGGGUGCGUAGGUGGCUUGGUAAGUCAGCGGUAAAAGACGGCAGCUUAACUGUUAGUGCGCCGUUGAUACUGCCAAGCUUGAGUAAAGUUGAGGUGGGCGGAAUGAAUAGUGUAGCGGUGAAAUGCAUAGAUAUUAUUCAGAACGCCAAUUGCGAAGGCAGCUCACUUAGUUUUCACUGACACUGAGGCACGAAAGCGUGGGGAUCAAACAGG
rnacentral:rRNA from 1 species